GCAGGGAUACCGAAGUGGUCUAACGGGCUGGGUUUAGGACCCAGUGGCUCAGUGCCUUCGUAGGUUCAAAUCCUACUCCCUGCA
rnacentral:tRNA from 1 species